ensembl:lncRNA
CCUCAGCAUCACAGAACAUCCAGAAACAACAGAGAAUCUUCUGAAUGUUGUUGAUUGCAGCAGACAGUAAAACAAAUGCAGCUCAGCAGCCUUCAGACUGAAACGAGAUGCUGCAGAGGAAAACGUCUUUUCUGAAAAUGCACUGGGCUUCACAUUCACGUCUUUGUCCACAGCGAACACGGAGCAGAGAAUUUCCACCCAGUUUUUCUUUGUCACAGAAUAACAAAGAGAAUGAAAAGCAACCAUCUCCACAUAUAGAGCUCUCUGCACCAGAGCACACCGAACAACGAAUAUUAUCUUCAGAAGAGCUCUGAUCACUUCAGGAUGUUUGCUGUCCACCAACUGAAACCUAAGAAAGAGAAUCCUGGGACUCUAACAACAACAACAUCCAUCCAUUCUCUUCCACUUAUCCCUGUCAGGGUUGCUGGAGCCUAUCAGGGUACACUGUGGACAGCUCGCCAGCCUGACGCAGGGCUAACACAUACAGAAAAUCAUUCACACUCACAGUCAGCUCUAUGGGCAUUUUAGAUUCUCCAAUUAACCUAGCCCCACUAAUUGCAUGUCUUUAAACUGUGGAACGAAGCUGGACAAAGAAACCAUUAUGGCUGAGAAGACAAACAAAGAAACAGGAGGGCAACUGGAAGUACAAAGAACUUAGCAAAAACCUGAACUGGGAAAAGCUAAGAAAAGCACAUCACAAGAGGCUGGAAAACAGAGACACAGGGAAACAGGCAGAAGGACCGCAGGGGCAACGUGGAGGAUGAUCACACAGACGGACUGACAAGGAACAGAGGAAAGCACAGACUGUUGCUGUGUCCAAAUUCAGGGAAGGAUCCUUCAAGGAUUCUACCUACCUGUGUCACUUAGGAGGGUAUUUCAAUGGCAGUGUAGGCCAGAAGUGAGCGGAUGUGAAAUUAGACAGCCUUCUAAUUUUCUUUAAUCUACACGCAUUUAGGAAUGAUUGCCGGUCAUUCGUUCACAUUUACUGUAUUAUAUAAAAUAUGUAAACUAAAUCUCU